rnacentral:lncRNA from 1 species
AUUCGAUUGUACUGGACGUCAAAGAACUUUUAUAACAUAUAUACGACAAUUUAUUAGUGAUGAUUCUUCUGCAUAUUAGAUUAUUAUAAGUGCUUUCCGUGGAAGAAAUGCUUUGGCGGGAAGACGGCGGGAAGGCGGGAAAAAUUCCAAUAUGGACGCCAUCAAGCUUUUUUUCAUCAACGAUGAUGUGAGAAUUUUUGCGGCCACGUGCAAUGUGGUCAGUAGAAUCAGUGUUUGCUUCGUAAAUUUUUUUAAUCUUUCAGUGGAUACGCGAAAUUAGAGUCAGUGUUUGUUCGUUAAUUUAAAUUAUAUUGUAUUUAUUUGUAAAAUAUAUGUUUCGGGUAUUCGAGUCAGUGUUUUUCUUAAGAAGAGAAAGCAAUCAUUUGAAUAGUUUUAUAAUUUCCUGUUACACGAUGAUAAUCUUCUUAAUAACUUCUGGACUACGACACAAUGAAGGCGUUCAUCGCAUCAUAUGGUGAGUCGCAUGUUUUUUGAUUCCUCUGAUCACUCAACCAUGUCGUAGGAUGAAAGAUCCGAAUCGACACGAGUGAUUGGUUGUAUACGUAGAAUUUUGCACGAGCAUAGUGACCACGAAUAUUUAUUAUAUUCGUGAGUAGUAACAUUUUGUUUGUACAUGUUUUAUUUAUUAGAUUAGGCUAGGUCUUC